rnacentral:sRNA from 1 species
UUCGUGGUACAAUCAAGUUGCAUAUCAAAUAAGGGGAAGUGUAUCCUCUGUUGAGUCACUGUCUUACUCUGCCGACAUGUCAUUGGCACAAUUGCAAACUGCACUAAGUAUUCAGGAAGCCUCAUCCCAAAUAUAGGUGUCCCAUGUUAUCAAAUUAGGUGUUAUGAAAGAUGGGUCUCCAUAAUUUGGUUUCCAUGUAUCAUGAAUGUUUCGUGGUAUAAUCAGAUCGAAUAUCAAAUAAAGUGUUAUGAAAGAUGGGACUGC